GGGCCCAUAGCUCAGUUGGUUAGAGCAGUAGCCUUUUAAGCUACGUGUCGUGGGUUCGAGUCCCACUGGGCCCUCCA
rnacentral:tRNA from 1 species